rnacentral:rRNA from 1 species
AACGAACGCUGGCGGCAGGCUUAACACAUGCAAGUCGAGCGAGAAAAGUUCUUCGGAGCUUUUCUAGCGGCGGACGGGUGAGUAACACGUGGGCAACCUGCCUCAUAGAGGGGAAUAGCCUUCCGAAAGGAAGAUUAAUACCGCAUAACAUUGUUGAAAGGCAUCUUUUAACAAUCAAAGGAGCAAUUCGCUAUGAGAUGGGCCCGCGGCGCAUUAGCUAGUUGGUGAGGUAACGGCUCACCAAGGCGACGAUGCGUAGCCGGCCUGAGAGGGUGAUCGGCCACAUUGGAACGGAGACACGGUCCAGACUCCUACGGGAGGCAGCAGUGGGGAAUAUUGCACAAUGGGGGAAACCCUGAUGCAGCAACGCCGCGUGAGUGAUGAAGGUCUUCGGAUUGUAAAGCUCUGUCUUUAGGGACGAUAAUGACGGUACCUAAGGAGGAAGCCACGGCUAACUACGUGCCAGCCGCCGCAGUAACAC